rnacentral:rRNA from 1 species
AUUGAACGCUGGCGGCAGGCCUAACACAUGCAAGUCGCACGAGUGGCGGACGGGUGAGUAAUGUCUGGGAAACUGCCUGAUGGAGGGGGAUAACUACUGGAAACGGUAGCUAAUACCGCAUACCAUCGGAUGUGCCCAGAGUGGAUUAGCUAGUAGGUGGGGGAAAGGCUCACCUAGGCGACGAUCCCUAGCUGGUCUGAGAGGAUGACCAGCCACACUGGAACUGAGACACGGUCCAGACUCCUACGGUAGGCAGCAGUGGGGAAUAUUGCACAAUGGGAGCAAGCCUGAUGCAGCCAUGCCGCGUGUAUGAAGAAGGCCUUCGGGUUGUAAAGUACUUUCAGCGGGGAGGCGUUACCCGCAGAAGAAGCACCGGCUAACUCCGUGCCAGCAGCCGCGGUAAUUC